CGGCAACAGCUCAAAUUUGAAAUCUGGCCCUCUCAGGGUCCGAGUUGUAAUUUGUAGAGGGUGCUUUGGCGUCGGCCGUGGUCUAAGUUCCUUGGAACAGGACGUCACAGAGGGUGAGAAUCCCGUACGUGGCCGCCGGUCUUCGCCGUGUAAAGCCCCUUCGAC
rnacentral:rRNA from 1 species